rnacentral:rRNA from 1 species
UACGUAGGCAGCAAGCGUUGUUCGGAGUUACUGGGCGUAAAGGGUGCGUAGGUGGCUCUAUAAGUAUGGUGUGAAAUCUCCCGGCUUAACUGGGAGGGUGCGCCGUAGACUGUGGGGCUAGAGUGUGGGAGAGGAAAGUGGAAUUCCUGGUGUAGCGGUGAAAUGCGCAGAUAUUAGGAAGAACACCAGUGGCGAAGGCGGCUCACUGGCCCGGUACUGACGCUGAGGCGCGAAAGCGUGGGGAGCAAACAGG